UCCGGUUUGUCACCGGCAGUCUCCCUAGAGUGCCCUUGCGUAGCAACUAGGGACAAGGGUUGCGCUCGUUGCGGGACUCAACCCAACAUCUCACGACACGAGCUGACGACAGCCAUGCAGCACCUGUGUUCCGGCUCCCUUUCGGGCACUCCCGCAUCUCUGUGGGAUUCCGGACAUGUCAAGGGUAGGUAAGGUUUUUCGCGUUGCAUCGAAUUAAUCCACAUAAUCCACCGCUUGUGCGGGUCCCCGUCAAUUCCUUUGAGUUUUAACCUUGCGGCCGUACUCCCCAGGCGGGAUACUUAAUGCGUUAGCUUCGCCACAAAGGGUUUCAAUCCCCCUCACAGCAAGUAUCCAUCGUUUAGGGCUAGGACUAC
rnacentral:misc_RNA from 1 species